rnacentral:lncRNA from 1 species
AAAGAAUCACAGCAACUAUCUGCAACAUAAAUAACUAUGGCCAUAAGUUUUAUAAUUAGAUUAACUUUUUAUUCUCUCAUUCUUGUUCAUUCAUUUUAAACCAUUUUAAGGACAUUACAUUUCAUAGAUUGCUUCAUGUUGUGUUGCUUCAUUGUUAAUUUAUUUUUAACAUUCAUUUGUGACAGGGUAAAAAUGGUGAUGGGAAAGUGGCUAUACAGUACAUUGGUUGCUUGCUUUCUCUUGCUUCUCUCUCCAGCUCAGAAGAAUUGUGAGAAAGUACACACAAAAUCUGCAGACUGUUUUUCAGCUCUGGAAUUCCACUUAGUGAUGGUCCUGUAUUGAAGAUUGAAGUCUGCUGUUGGAGAUCAAACAACUAAUAAAAGAUGAGAAUGGGGACUUGGAAUUUAUCUAAUGGAAACAUGAUUGUUGAAACAUGAGUGUGGUAUCAGCGCAGCUAUGUGGUUAGAAACUAAUUUUGCUUUUUUAUUAUAAAGAAAGACAAAGAAGAACAAAACUUUGGGAAACAGCAUUUCCCUUAUUAAAUAUUUACCAUUUCAGCUCCAGAGUCAGGAAAGGUAAGCUCUGAGUCAUUACUUUUUUAUUUUUAGUAUCCAAUCUACUUGGAAGUGAAUGGAAUGCAAUAACCUUCAAAUCCCUUUAGAAGUUGUGAGUUACAUGAAAUCAUUUAUUUGAAAAGCACCAUGAGAUAAUAGACGGGUUGGAUGAGAGGUAUAAGGCACUUUAUUCAUGUGAAUUCCCAUUUUCUGACUUCAUUUUUUCCAUAUUUAAAACUGGAACUCUGGACAUAAGAAUAUGAUUUUUUUUAAUUGUUUUGUGUUGUUAAAGUGAUCCACUAACACAGCAGUAGUGAACACAGAGGACUGUUCUUUUGUAACAGUAAUAACCUAUCACUGAUCUGGUACUGCAGUCAUAAGCUUCAGAAUAUGUUGGGGAUUUUUAAGGCCCGAAGGGAGUGUUUUGAUCAUCUAGUCUGACUUCUGGCACAUGGGAAGCAAAUAGAACUUCACCCAUCGUUCUUGUACUUCUGGACAAACAAAUAAUUUUGCUUGUAAGAGCUUCUGUAAGUGAGAAUAAGGCUUUCACUAGGUAAUUUUAACUUCUUUUGAAAGCACAGCUGAAUAAUUCAUUUCAUUAUGCACUCUGACUUUAGAUACUUAUUAAAAUCUGGAGUGGAUUCUGGAAGUGAAUGGAAGAUGUUAGUGAACAUUUGAGUAACAAAACUGAGCCAAAAACAUUAUAAAAUGUUGAAGCGUUAUUGACCCAGUACAGUUUUAAGAAGCUAGGUCUUAGAAGUAAAUGCAAAGAAAUGAAAAACAGCUAAAGUCAUAAUCCGUUGAAACACUAAAGCAUGCCUGUGACUCUCAUCAUGUGAGAAGUUUCAUCAAAGACAAUGAGACUGUUAAAGGUUUCAGAAGAUAGGCAUGCAUCUAAGCACUUUAGUAGAUUGGAAUCCAAGUGCCUAGUCAAAACCAUUAAUUUCUUUUAGCAAGGAGGCUGUAUGAGAAGCUCAAUAAAAUAAAUUACAGAAGAGAAAGAACUAUAAGA